GACGAACGCUGGCGGCAUGCUUAACACAUGCAAGUCGAACGGUAACAGGCCCUUCGGGUGCUGACGAGUGGCGGACGGGUGAGUAAUGCUUAGGAAUCUGCCUAGUAGUGGGGGAUAACCCGGGGAAACUCGGGCUAAUACCGCAUACGCCCUACGGGGAAGGACGGGGACGUUUCGGCCGUCGCGCUAUUAGAUGAGCCUAAGUCCGAUUAGCUAGUUGGUAGGGUAAUGGCCUACCAAGGCGACGAUCGGUAGCUGGUCUGAGAGGACGACCAGCCACACUGGGACGUGAGACACGGCCCAGACUCCUACGGGAGGCAGCAGUGGGGAAUAUUGGACAAUGGGCGCAAGACCUGAUCCAGCGAUGCCGCGUGUGUGAAGAAGG
rnacentral:rRNA from 1 species